CGCGGCCUAUCAGCUUGUUGGUGAGGUAAUGGCUUACCAAGGCGACGACGGGUAGCCGGCCUGAGAGGGCGACCGGCCACACUGGGACUGAGACACGGCCCAGACUCCUACGGGAGGCAGCAGUGGGGAAUAUUGCACAAUGGGGGAAACCCUGAUGCAGCGACGCCGCGUGCGGGAUGAAGGCCUUCGGGUUGUAAACCGCUUUCAGCAGGGACGAAAGUGACGGUACCUGCAGAAGAAGCACCGGCUAACUACGUGCCAGCAGCCGCGGUAAUACGUAGGGUGCAAGCGUUGUCCGGAAUUAUUGGGCGUAAAGAGCUCGUAGGCGGUCUGUCGCGUCGGAUGUGAAAGCCCGGGGCUUAACCCCGGGUCUGCAUUCGAUACGGGCAGACUAGAGUGUGGUAGGGGAGAUCGGAAUUCCUGGUGUAGCGGUGAAAUGCGCAGAUAUCAGGAGGAACACCGGUGGCGAAGGCGGAUCUCUGGGCCAUUACUGACGCUGAGGAGCGAAAGCGUGGGGAGCGAACAGGAUUAGAUACCCUGGUAGUCCACGCCGUAAACGGUGGGAACUAGGUGUUGGCGACAUUCCACGUCGUCGGUGCCGCAGCUAACGCAUUAAGUUCCCCGCCUGGGGAGUACGG
rnacentral:rRNA from 1 species